GGAUGUGAGGGCGAUCUGGCUGCAACAUCUGUCACCCCAUUGAUCGCCAGGGUUGAUUCGGCUGAUCUGGCUGGCUAGGCAGGUGUCCCCUUCCUCCCUCACAGCUCCAUGUGUGUCCCUCCCGAAGCUGUGUGCUCAGUAGAAGAGGACAGCCUUCCCUGAAUAGAGACUGACCAGUCUUUGGUCGAGGGUAUACGAGUAGCUGCGCUCCCCUGCUAGAACCUCCAAACAAGCUCUCAAAUGUUCACCAGGCAUUCUUAUUAAGUUGAUAACUUUAGCUUCUGGACAUAGUCUUUGGUUUCC
rfam:Erinaceus europaeus unplaced genomic scaffold scaffold00070, whole genome shotgun sequence